rnacentral:lncRNA from 1 species
UUUUGAGUUACUCCGGCAAAUGAAACAUCCUGAAAGAAAAAGAAAACGGUGACAAUACAAUAUCUCAAUCAAUACUAUGCUUAAUGAAUAAAUAAUUGUUAGAGCCCACUUCACUAUAAAUAAAUAAAGAAGCUACCUAUCUAAUAUUUUGAUAUUCUACAAAAAAAAUAAUAAUUAAUUAUGCUGAUACCCGUAAGUUUUAGUGAAAUUAUAUAAACCACCCCUGAUCACCACUGCAUGAAAAAUAAUUGUAAUUUUUUAAAUAAAAAAUGUGAUGAAUGCAAUUAAGUUAAACAAAAUAUGUUAUUUUAUGAGGAAAAAUCCAAAUAAUAUACAAAUAAAUGUAUCUUUAUUAUUUUUUGUUACAAAAUACAUCAACAAUUCUAAAGAGAUAUUGUUUAAAUCACUCUUAUACUAUAUCGUAAAGAACCAAAAAUAAUAAAGAGGUAUCGAUUUAUAUAUUAUGUGGACUUGUCUCCACAAUAUACUAUGUUAUGUUUAACUUAAUUGCAUUCAUCACAUUUUUUUCUUUAAAAAAUUACAAUUAUUUUUCAUGCGGGGGUGGUCAAUGUAAUUAAAGUAUAAAAACUAGGGAAGAAUUGUGUAUGUGUACAAAAGUGUAGGAUGAUUUAUGUAAUUUCGCUAAAACUUAGGGAGUACGAGUGUAAUUUACUCUACGAAAAAACCAACAAAAGGGUGCAUCAUCCUCCCAAGCCAUAAACAUAACACACAAGUAUCCAAAGCAACCUCACCACCCAUGACUUCAUCCCUUCACAUUUCCGCCACUCAUGAUAUAUUAGGGGAGGGAACAUUCAUAAUUUUUAACUAAUUCCAAAAGUUAAAUUUAUGCACCUUGGUGUUCCUGGAGUCAACAUUUGAAACACACAUGGAGAAAAUGAUAAUUUUUCUUCAUCCAUUUUCCUUCUUCACUUUCACUCUUUCUACCCAUUUCUCACCCUUGUCUAGUAGUACAAACAUCAAAACCAAAAGAAAAGAGAUAUACUAUUUUUAUAGCAAUACCCUUGACAGAGGCAAAGAGAGAACCAUUUGUAUGUUUUAUUUGAACAUUACAUAUGUUUUCACUCUCAUCCACCCAGAAACUAUUACCAAACCUUAGUUUUAUGUAUUGUUCUAUAUAAAGUAUGAACCAUAUAAAAAAAACACCAUCAGUAAAAGAAAGAAAUCAAAAUCAACCUUCUUCAUUUUCCCACAUUCAUUUUAUGCUACCAACGGAAGUAAAAGAAUGAGUGCUUUUUAACUUUUAAACAAUUGGAGCAGCAAGCAAAACAAAGUCAAACGUGAAGGAAGGUGAAAUAAGGGGUGACCCACGUCCCUUUUCUCCAAGAUACACCGUUUCCGCUAACAUAUGAGAACCAUAGAGAACCAUCACGAACCACCACCAAUAGACGCUGUGAAAACGAGACGGCGGUCUUAGGCCCAAACCGUCACCAUAACUCCUUGGCCACCGCUGGAGACGGAUAACCCGUCGUUGGAGAGGACUCGAAGAAGGGAUGGUGCCUCGAAGACGCGCUGCCACAAAUAAUCCCAAGCUGGCUCGGUCUCUGCCACCAAUGGCUCAUGGUUGCCGCCGCUGGAGAGAAGAGAGAAGUGAUGGGGUGAGAGGGAGAUUAGGGAUUUCAAUUCCCAUUCCUUUCACGUUUUUUGCAUCUAACAGGGUAACCCCCUUCAUUUUAACAAUA